rnacentral:rRNA from 1 species
CCUACGGGUGGGCAGCAGUGAGGAAUAUUGGUCAAUGGACGAGAGUCUGAACCAGCCCAGUAGCGUGAAGGAUGACUGCUCUAUGGGUUGUAAACUUCUUUUAUAAAGGAAUAAAACGAGGCACGUGUGCCUUUUUGCAUGUACUUUAUGAAUAAGGAUCGGCUAAAUCCGUGCCAGCAGCCGCGGUAAUACGGAGGGUCCGAGCGUUAUCCGGAUUUGUUGGGUUGAAAGGGAGCGUAGAUGGGUUGUUAAGUCAGUUGGGAAAGUUUGCGGUUCAACCAUAAGAUUGCAAUUGAUACUGGCAGUCUUGAGUACAGUUGAGGUAAGCGGAAUUCGUGGUGUAGCGGUGAAAUGCUUAGAUAUCACGAGGAACCCCGAUUGCGAAGGCAGCUUACUAGACUGUGACUGACGUUGAUGCUCGAAAGCAUGGGGAGCAAACAGGAUUAGAUACCCUUGUAGUC